GAGCGAUCACGUGACCAGGCGUGACGUCACCGGUGAGCUCCGGACUGUUCUGAGGAGAGCGCAGUAUCGCCGGUGUAUCUAGUGUGAUACUCUGCUGUAUCUAAUAACGGCUCAGCGCUCUGGGAAGUCACAUCACAGGGACCAUGUCAGCCGGGGUCUACAAGGCCGCUGCGCUAUCUGCGAGGGGCCCAUGGUGGACGCUCAUCACUCCCAAAACGUUCUACCACACCAAGCCCCCAAGAAUGAGGUCGGAGCGUUUGAAACAUUUGUGGCCUUUACGAUUUUAUCCUUCGGCGUCCUGUCUCCGGCCGCGUGGAUUCUGUCCAACAUCCCAGAGCAGCCGAAACACUAGAGGGGAAGGAACGGACGUGUUUACCUGUGACCUCACGAUGACAUCAUCAUCAUAUAAGAGACUGUUUAGUGUGUAAUGUCUGUGAUACGUCCUGUGCCCCCAAAAUAUAUGCAACUGCCCCCC